GGAAACACUAGUUCUUGUACAUCUCUGCAGUUAAGCAAUAUUGAGCCUGGUCAGUACCUAGAUGGGUGACUACUUGGGAAUACCAGGUGCUGUAA